rnacentral:tRNA from 1 species
GUUGUGGCUCAGUGGUAGAGUGCUCACCUAGCACAUAGGAGGCCCUGGGUUCAGUCCUCAGCACUACA